rnacentral:tRNA from 2 species
CCUUCUGUAGCUCAAUUGGUAGAGCAUGUGACUGUAGAUCACAGGGUCGCUGGUUCGAUUCCGGCCGGAAGGA